rnacentral:lncRNA from 1 species
AAACGUUUGCGGAAGGAAUACAGGACACACUCGCGCGGCAGAAUCGCGAAAAGUCCCCGGUGUUCUCCGCGCAGGGAGUUCCCCGCGCAGGGAGUUCCUAGCGGGCCACGCGCUCUCGCCUGACCACCCGCGCCGAGCUGCGGGCUGUCGGGGUACAGACGCCCGCGCGCGCAGGUGCAUUCGCUCCAGAUACAUUUCAUAUUGCUCUUCAGUCGACAAGGGAAAUUACGGCUACAGAAAUGGUACAUCACUCUCCCUGAUAAAGAGAGGAAGAAGAUCACCCGGGAAAUUGUUCAGAUUAUUCUCUCCCGUGGUCACAGGACAAGCAGUUUUGUUGACUGGAAGGAGCUAAAACUUGUUUAUAAAAGGAGGCUAUUGGGGGUGAUGAAUAAUGAUUUCAUUCUUGGAUGAGGAGAGGCUCGGCGGGGGAGGAGGUGACUGCAUAUUCGUGGGAAAAACUGUCUCCAGGUUGCUUAAUGUCUGUGAGCUGGAUAUUAUCUUUAAUUUUGAAAAGGCUUAUUUCAUCCUGGACGAGUUUAUAAUAGGUGGGGAAAUUCAGGA